CAUUUUUUUCUUCGCAGUAUUGGAGAUUAAACCUAGACCCUCAAGCAUAGUAGGCAAUUACUCUACUAAAAUUUUUCAUUUUUAUUGAUACGUGGUAAUUGCACAUAUUUGUAGUAAAAUAUUAUCUAAUUUAUAAAAUGUUAUUAGGUUUAGGUGCAUUCUGAUUUUUUAAAACAUUCAUUUUGCCGGGCGUGGUGGCACAUACAUAUAAUCCCAGCACGUGGGAGGCUGGGCCAGGAGGAUUGCAGCAAACUUGAGACCAGCCUGGAUGACGUAGUGAGUUCCAAGGCCAGCCUGAACUACAUAGACCUUGUCUCAAAAAAUAAAAAUGUUCAUUUGGUGGUAACACUCAUGGCUGUAAUGAUGGGUGAACCACGCUUGGAUUUAUUUUGACAAUAACGGUAAUAUUUACUUUCUCUAUUUAGUUUGCUCAUGGCUAGUUUCCAGAUGAUGGUUUAGAAUAAAAGCACCUCCUGGUUAUAUUUUUUGAAAACGUACUGUUAGAUUACUUCAGAAACAUUUAUUAUCAGGUUAUCUUUUUCAGAUUUUAAUGCUUGUGUUACUCUGUUUACGUUAACCAUGGCCCGUUGGAGCUGCGGUGGGCCCUCGCCAGGAGCAGAUGUGCAGGAGACAGAUGCAGACGGCCUGGGCCACAGGCGGUGUCUCGGAUGUGGCUCUCCCCCGCGGCUGUGCCUGCUGUCUCUCCGGGAAGGUAGGUCUGUGCGCGUCACUGCCAAGCAGCCUGCAGACAAACCCAAAGGCCUGGGUAGCUUCUCUUUACGGAAGGACGCUAAAAACCGUGAAACGUAGUGGUCUGGUGCUCACCGGUGAAUUAGAAUUUAGGAUUAUUUAGUGCAAAGAUAAGCAAGGCUUCUGUAAUUUACC
rnacentral:lncRNA from 1 species